rnacentral:rRNA from 1 species
AGAGUUUGAUCCUGGCUCAGGAUGAACGCUAGCGGUAGGCUUAACACAUGCAAGUCGAGGGGUAUAGUUCUUCGGAACUAGAGACCGGCGCACGGGUGCGUAACGCGUAUGCAAUCUACCUUUCACAGAGGGAUAGCCCAGAGGAAUUUGGAUUAAUACCUCCCUCAUAGUAUAACAUGACCGCAUGGUCGAGUUAUUAAAGUCACAACGGUGAAAGAUGAGCAUGCGUCCCAUUAGCUAGUUUGGUAAGGUAACGGCUUACCAAGGCAACGAUGGGUAGGGGUCCUGAGAGGGAGAUCCCCCACACUGGUACUGAGACACGGACCAGACUCCUACGGGAGGCAGCAGUGAGGAAUAUUGGACAAUGGGCGCAAGCCUGAUCCAGCAUGCGCGUGCAGGAUGACGGUCUAUGGAUUGUAAACUGCUUUUGUAAACUGCUUUUAUACGAGAAGAAACACCUCUACGUGUAGAGACUUGACGGUAUCGUAAGAAUAAGGGAUCGGCUAACUCCGUGCCAGCAGCCGCGGUAAUACGGAGGAUCCAAGCGUUAUCCGGAAUCAUUGGGUUUAAAGGGUCCGUAGGCGGUCAGAUAAGUCAGUGGUGAAAGCCCAUCGCUCAACGGUGGAACGGCCAUUGAUACUGUCUGACUUGAAUUAUUAGGAAGUAACUAGAAUAUGUAGUGUAGCGGUGAAAUGCUUAGAGAUUACAUGGAAUACCAAUUGCGAAGGCAGGUUACUACUAAUUGAUUGACGCUGAUGGACGAAAGCGUGGGUAGCGAACAGGAUUAGAUACCCUGGUAGUCCACGCCGUAAACGAUGGAUACUAGCUGUUGGGAGCAAUCUCAGUGGCUAAGCGAAAGUGAUAAGUAUCCCACCUGGGGAGUACGUUCGCAAGAAUGAAACUCAAAGGAAUUGACGGGGGCCCGCACAAGCGGUGGAGCAUGUGGUUUAAUUCGAUGAUACGCGAGGAACCUUACCAAGGCUUAAAUGUAGAUUGACCGGUUUGGAAACAGACUUUUCGCAAGACAAUUUACAAGGUGCUGCAUGGUUGUCGUCAGCUCGUGCCGUGAGGUGUCAGGUUAAGUCCUAUAACGAGCGCAACCCCUGUUGUUAGUUGCCAGCGAGUCAUGUCGGGAACUCUAACAAGACUGCCAGUGCAAACUGUGAGGAAGGUGGGGAUGACGUCAAAUCAUCACGGCCCUUACGCCUUGGGCUACACACGUGCUACAAUGGCCGGUACAGAGAGCAGCCACUGGGCGACCAGGAGCGAAUCUAUAAAACCGGUCACAGUUCGGAUCGGAGUCUGCAACUCGACUCCGUGAAGCUGGAAACGCUAGUAAUCGGAUAUCAGCCAUGAUCCGGUGAAUACGUUCCCGGGCCUUGUACACA